rnacentral:rRNA from 1 species
GUUGUUGGGUAGGGGAGCGUUCUGUAAGCCUGCGAAGGUGUACUGUGAGGUAUGCUGGAGGUAUCAGAAGUGCGAAUGCUGACAUAAGUAACGAUAAAGCGGGUGAAAAGCCCGCUCGCCGGAAGACCAAGGGUUCCUGUCCAACGUUAAUCGGGGCAGGGUGAGUCGACCCCUAAGGCGAGGCCGAAAGGCGUAGUCGAUGGGAAACAGGUUAAUAUUCCUGUACUUGGUGUUACUGCGAAGGGGGGACGGAGAAGGCUAUGUUGGCCGGGCGACGGUUGUCCCGGUUUAAGCGUGUAGGCUGGUUUUCCAGGCAAAUCCGGAAAAUCAAGGCUGAGGCGUGAUGACGAGGCACUACGGUGCUGAAGCAACAAAUGCCCUGCUUCCAGGAAAAGCCUCUAAGCAUCAGGUAACAUCAAAUCGUACCCCAAACCGACACAGGUGGUCAGGUAGAGAAUACCAAGGCGCUUGAGAGAACUCGGGUGAAGGAACUAGGCAAAAUGGUGCCGUAACUUCGGGAGAAGGCACGCUGAUAUGUAGGUGAAGUCCCU